rnacentral:lncRNA from 1 species
UAAGACACCAUAUCUCCUUUCCUCACACUGAACCCAUCUGGCAGCGUGUCAUCUGAAAAGCAAAUCUUUGCAUCCUGCAAACCCAGAGUUAGAAAAUUUGAGAUUUCAGAACUGUUUGGCACAAAAUAUAAUGCAGAAGAUGAAAAUGUGCAAGGAAGAUGUCAAAAAAGGAGAAGAGCAACGUAUCAAUGCUUUAGAAUCAUUUCCCAGAUAUAUAUCAAAGAGUUUGAUAUAGUUGUCCUAUGCCUUUCUUGAUGAAAAACCAAUUAUUGUUGGGACUUAAUUCAAAACCAGGAAAGCUUCAAAUCUAUGUAUAUG